AGUAUCAUUUAAACUAAGCAGAUGUGCUUUAUUGCAUGCAUGGGUACAACUGGAAAUGUUUAGGAAACUGUCUAAAGCUUUACAAAGGGACAAUUGAGAUAGAUAUAUAAUAAAGUAUCUCAAAGGUAAGGUUAUCGAAAUUUGGACAAAGUAACAAUAACUGCAUGGAAUAGUUAAUCUGGAACACAUUGUGGACGUGGACAACCUGUAACUUCAAUGCAUUGCUUAUAUGACUAAUUCUGAUCCAUUUUUUUUGUUCCAGAAAGUGUUGUGGAAUGAUUCUGAAAGAGGAAUGUAUAAAAAGUGUCAUUUCAGAAAGCCUUAGGAUUGCAGCCAAGGAAUGAGCUACAGUCAGCAUUUGAAACUGAAAGGUACCUCUGGUAGUUAGCAGCAGCUCAUGGACUGAGAGCUGGUUUAAGACAAGCGAAGGUUCAGACACUAUUCACACUCUGCCAAGUUUUGCAAGAGAUGGAUACAUUAUUGAAGAUAUUUUCAGCAUGAAGCUUUAUUGCAGAUGUUUUCUGUCGCACUGAAAGAUUUGUGGCCCUUUUGUGUGACUAACCAAGCAUCAAUACUAACACAGAUGAAGCAAAAAAGAAACUGUUUGCACAGAAUAAUAGGCACUCAGUUCACCCACAAAGGCAUACUUAUAACACCUAUGAAUUCAUAUUUAGAGAAACAUGUAAAAGGACCGUCUACCAAGGACCCCAUGUGUAAGAACAGAUAAUCCCAUGAGACUACAGCUUUCAGCACAGACUACAUCAAGUUGUACUAAAGACUCUCUAGCAUUAUGGACAACUUGGCCUUAAGCAGCUAAGAUCUGCAGAGAUGUGCAAUCCUACAGUCACAAGUAGGACACCGAGAAGCAA